rnacentral:rRNA from 1 species
CACUCCUGCGGGAGGCAGCAGUGGGGAAUUUUGGACAAUGGGCGAAAGCCUGAUCCAGCAAUGCCGCGUGUGUGAAGAAGGCCUUCGGGUUGUAAAGCACUUUUGUCCGGAAAGAAAUCCUUGGCUCUAAUACAGUCGGGGGAUGACGGUACCGGAAGAAUAAGCACCGGCUAACUACGUGCCAGCAGCCGCGGUAAUACGUAGGGUGCGAGCGUUAAUCGGAAUUACUGGGCGUAAAGCGUGCGCAGGCGGUUUGCUAAGACCGAUGUGAAAUCCCCGGGCUCAACCUGGGAACUGCAUUGGUGACUGGCAGGCUAGAGUAUGGCAGAGGGGGGUAGGAUUCCACGUGUAGCAGUGAAAUGCGUAGAGAUGUGGAGGAAUACCGAUGGCGAAGGCAGCCCCCUGGGCCAAUACUGACGCUCAUGCACGAAAGCGUGGGGAGCAAACAGGAUUAGAAACCCGUGUAGUCCCAUGAU